GUUCCUUAUAAAAGGACAAGUUCAACCUCCUCUCUCUCACUUUCUCUUUCUCUCUCUGUCUCUCCCUUCACCUGUCUUUUCCCUGUUCCAUGGGAUGACACAGCAAAAAGACCCCUGCCAGAUGUUAGCCCCUUGAUUUUGGACCUCUCAGCCUUCAGAACUCUUCUCAUCACCCCGGGGUCCUGAAAUCUAGAACUGGCUUCAGAAGCAGGGAUGAUGGAGUCUUGCUCUGUCGCCAGGCUGGAGUGCAAUGGUGCAAUCUUGGCUCACUGCAACCUCCGCCUCCCCAGUUCAAGCAAUUCUUCUGCCUCAGCCUCCCGAGUAGCUGAGACUACAGUGGACCAGAGGAGAAGAUAUGGAUGAACUCCUUGGACCCACCCUGUUCCCAGCUCAUCUGGGAGAAUGAAGCUAAUUGGUAAAUCCACUGUUUGAUGCUUGUAAUGAAGACUCAAGGAGUUCUGUCUCUACCAAGUUCCUUGCCCUUAAUGACUCAAGAAUUAAUUUUAUCUUUUCCUCUCAAAACCUUGAAAGAAAUGCUUGAGUCCUUGUAACCUGUAAAAUAAAUGUUGUUACUGAAGGGAAAA
rnacentral:lncRNA from 1 species